rnacentral:rRNA from 1 species
CUACGGGAGGCAGCAGUGGGGAAUAUUGGACAAUGGGGGAAACCCUGAUCCAGCGACGCCGCGUGUGUGAAGAAGGCCUGCGGGUUGUAAAGCACUUUUAGUGGGGACAAAAAGCCAUCGGCGAAUACCUGGUGGUCUUGAUUUAACUCACAGAAAAAGCACCGGCUAACUCUGUGCCAGCAGCCGCGGUAAUACAGAGGGUGCGAGCGUUAAUCGGAAUUACUGGGCGUAAAGCGCGCGUAGACGGUUUUGUAAGUCAGAUGUGAAAUCCCUGGGCUCAACCUGGGAACUGCAUUUGAGACUGCAUGGCUAGAGUAUGGAAGAGGGAAGUGGAAUUUCCGGUGUAGCGGUGAAAUGCGUAGAUAUCGGAAGGAACACCAGUGGCGAAAGCGACUUCCUGGUCCAAUACUGACGUUCAUGUGCGAAAGCGUGGGGAGCAAACAGGAUUAGAUACCCUGGUAGUCCACGCCAUAAACGAUGACAACUAGAUGUUGGGAGGGU